UGAAGAUUGACUGUAAAGGGAGACCACGAACAAAGAGAAAGGUGUCUGUUAUAGAAACAGCGGUGAAGAAAUCCAAAGCAUCGAGCAAGCCACCAAGAAACAACAAUGAUAAAACGAAGAAACGAAAAAAUCAAGCCUCCAAAUCAACGGAAAAUCAAGACAACACUAGUCAAUCUCCAUUGCCUUCUGUGCCUUCUGCAGCUCGCGAUCAUAGUACUCAGGAUUCUGUCGCUUCGUCAUCGACAGUUGCUCACACUUUCAGUGGUCACCAUCAUUCUAUUCUUUCUCAG